AAGCUAAAAAAGCAGAGAUUACCCCUCGUACCUUUUGCAUCAUGAUUUAGCGAGACAUAGCAAGCAAAAAGAAUUUUAGUUUGGCCCCCCGAAACCAAGUGAGCUACUUCAAGACAACCUAUCAAUAAGGGUAAACCCGUCUCUGUGGCAAUAGAGUGGGAAGAGCUUUAAGUAGAGGUGACAAACCUAUCGAACUUGGUAAUAGCUGGUUGCUUGAGAAACGAAUAGAAGUUCUGCCCCUUAUCUUCUCACCCCUCCGGCCCCCUAAAUGUACCGAAACAUGCCUGAAAGGGCAAAAGAAAAUAAGAGAGUUAAUCAAAGGGGGUACAGCUCCUUUGAGAUAAGAUACAACUUUUCCAGGAGGGUAAAGAUCAUAAUUUCUAAGGUAACCAUGUUUUGGUAGGCCUGAAAGCAGCCAUCCAAUCAGAAAGCGUCAAAGCUCCGACAUGACACUUCCCUAUGAUCCCGAUAAUAAGUCUUAGCCCCCUAAAUGUAUCAAGCCUCUCCAUAAAAAUAUGGAAGGGACUAUGCUAAAAUGAGUAACCAGAGAACAUCGCUUCUCUCCUUGUACACGUGUAAACCGGAACGGACCCCCCGCCGAAAAUUAACGGCCCCAAACAACAGAGGGCACUGAAUGAUAUAUCAAAAACAAGAAAAUCACUCAAAUUAAUACCGUUAACCCCACACUGGUGUACUUCAAAGGAAAGACCAAAAGGAAAAGAAGGAACUCGGCAAAUCCCACUAGCCUCGCCUGUUUACCAAAAACAUCGCCUCUUGCUAACCACACAUAAGAGGUCCUGCCUGCCCAGUGACAACCUGUUCAACGGCCGCGGUAUCCUAACCGUGCGAAGGUAGCGCAAUCACUUGUCCUCUAAAUGGGGACCUGUAUGAAUGGCACGACGAGGGCUUAACUGUCUCCUUUCCCCGGUCAGUGAAAUUGAUCUUCCCGUGCAGAAGCGGGAAUCCAGACAUAAGACGAGAAGACCCUAUGGAGCUUCAGACACUAGGACAGAUCAUGUCAGCUACCACUUUAAAAAGUAGCAAAUAUUGAAUUCCUGUUCCCCUGUCUUUGGUUGGGGCGACCACGGGGAAUAACAAAACCCCCGCGUGGACCGGGAGCACAAUUACUCCUCCAACAAUGAGCCACAGCUCUAAUACGCAGAACCUCUGACCUCAAGAUCCGGCAAAGCCGAUCAACGGACCAAGUUACCCUAGGGAUAACAGCGCAAUCCCCUUCAAGAGCCCGUAUCGCCAAGGGGGUUUACGACCUCGAUGUUGGAUCAAGACAUCCUAAUGGUGAAACCGCUAUUAAGGGUUCGUUUGUUCAACGAUUAAAGUCUU
rnacentral:rRNA from 1 species